ACAGCAGUAGCCGCGGUAAUACGUAGGUGGCAAGCGUUGUCCGGAAUUAUCGGGCGUAAAGGGCUCGCAGGCGGUUUCAUAAGUCUGAUGUGAAAGCCCCCGGCUCAACCGGGGAGGGUCAUUGGAAACUGGGAAACUUGAGUGCAGAAGAGGAGAGUGGAAUUCCACGUGUAGCGGUGAAAUGCGUAGAGAUGUGGAGGAACACCAGUGGCGAAGGCGACUCUCUGGUCUGUAACUGACGCUGAGGAGCGAAAGCGUGGGGAGCGAACAGGAUUAGAUACCCCAGUAGUCCCUGUCUCUUAUAC
rnacentral:rRNA from 1 species